rnacentral:rRNA from 1 species
AAUCAACGCUGGCGGCGUGCCUCAGACAUGCAAGUCGAACGAUUAAAGCUCCCUUCGGGGAGUGCAUAAAGUGGCGCACGGGUGAGUAACACGUAAGUAAUCUACCUUCGAGUGGGGAAUAACGUUCGGAAACGAACGCUAAUACCGCAUAAUGCAGCGGCAUCUAUGAUGACAGUUGUUAAAGAUUUAUCGCUUGAAGAGGAGCUUGCGGCAGAUUAGCUAGUUGGUAAGGUAAUGGCUUACCAAGGCUACGAUCUGUAUCCGGUCUAAGAGGACGGUCGGACACACUGACACUGAAUAACGGGUCAGACUCCUACGGAGGCAGCAGUCGGGAAUUUUGGGCAAUGGGCGAAGCCUGACCCAGCAACGCCGCGUGAAGGAUG